rnacentral:rRNA from 1 species
UACAGAGGGGGCAAGCGUUGUUCGGAAUUACUGGGCGUAAAGGGCGCGUAGGCGGCCUGCUAAGUCGAACGUGAAAUCCCUGGGCUCAACCCAGGAACUGCGUCCGAUACUGGUUGGCUUGAAUCCGGGAGAGGGAUGUGGAAUUCCAGGUGUAGCGGUGAAAUGCGUAGAUAUCGGGAGGAACAUCAGUGGCGAAGGCGGCUACCUGGCCCAAUACUGACACUCAGGUGCGAAAGCGUGGGGAGCAAACAGG